UAUGCUCUCAGUUUGAGUAAGACACAUUCAGCAGAAUGAUCUGGAUUUGCGAUCGCUUGAUCACAGGCUACCGUUACGGUAGUUUUGUGUGACAAAUUUGUGUUGUGGGAAGCGUUUCGGUUGGAACAGAAAGAUACUGCACGAUAAGUGCGAUCUCUGUUCUGUUUUCGAUGGUAGGCAUACCGAGGCAGAUACUUACAGAAUAGAGGACUGCCAACCACCUCGCUAUCCGUUCCUCGGGAUUAAGUCAAGGGUGUGAAAUUCCGGUACUGGAGUGUGUAUGCAGGGAGGUUCCACAGGCAUCGACAGCGUUCACAUUCUUUCGGACUUUUAUAUGGGGUCCCAGGUCAGGUGACCCCUGGAUUUUCCUGAAGGGUUCAUGGGAAAAGCGGGUGGCAGAGAGCUUGGAUGCAUGCUGGGAUACAUCCUCUGGAUGCGAGAGAAGCCGGAGAAGAUGACAACCUUGCCUCAAGCCUGCAUGGAGGCAGAGGAGCAUGCAGCACUGCACGUGAUGCUUCAUGCAUUAUGGGAAAUGUAGUUCAUAUUGUUGUGUUUUUUUAAUGGAGGGGAAAACAGUUUCAGCAUUUUAUGUAAUCGUGAUGUAUUUGUAGUGCGAUUAAGGGUCUGCUGGAUAUGUUACUAGUGUAUUAUUAUGCUACAAGUAGCCUAUGUGCUGGUGAGAAAAAGGUUUUUAUUUAUUGUUUGUUUUGAUAAUUGAAUUUGAUAUUAAAAAUGAUGUUGCCUGAGUGGGGUAAAGCUGUUUCAA